rnacentral:misc_RNA from 1 species
GAUGAAGAACGCAGCGAAAUGCGAUAAGUAGUGUGAAUUGCAGAAUUCAGUGAAUCAUCGAAUCUUUGAACGCACAUUGCGCCCCUUGGUAUUCCAUGGGGCAUGCCUGUUCGAGCGUUAUUUGUAUCUUCAAGCUUUGCUUGGUGUUGGGUGUUUGUCCUGCUCUAUGCGUGGACUCGCCUUAAAUCAAUUGGCAGCCGGUAAUCUGGUGUUAAGAGCGCAGCACAUUGUGCGCUCCUCGCUGUGUAUUGCGGCGUCCAUUAUGCCUAUAUUUUUUGCUCUUGACCUCGGAUCAGGUAGGGAUACCCGCUGAACUUAAGCAUAUCAAUAAGCGGAGGA